rnacentral:misc_RNA from 1 species
AACACUGUUAACCUGCGGUACCUGCGGAAGGAUCAUUACAGAGUUGCAGAACUCCCUAAACCAUUGUGAACGUUACCUAAACCGUUGCUUCGGCGGGCGGCCCGGGUCCUUCCCGGCGCCCCUCGGCCCUCGCGGGCGCCCGCCGGAGGUAAACCAAACUAUUGCAUUGUAUGGCCUCUCUGAGUCUUCUGUACUGAAUAAGUCAAAACUUUCAGCAACGGAUCUCAGAUCGGAAGAGCA